rnacentral:tRNA from 1 species
GCCAGAGUGCUGGAAUUGGUAGACAGGCUAGUUUCAGGUACUAGUGUCCGCAAGGGUGUAAGGGUUCGAGUCCCUUCUCUGGCA